AGAUGGUAGACGGACUAGGUACAUAGGGAACCCUACCGUGAACAUUGUCUCAUACCGGACGGGGCAUGGAGACAUGAUAAUUUAGCGCUCAUACUGGACGGGGUAUGGGGACGGUCCGCUUCACCCUCAUACCAAACGGGGUAUUGAGGUUUAAUAAUUUGGCGAUUAUACCGGAUGGGAUAUGGGAACAGUCCGUAAUUGAUAUUGUUAAAGAAAAUGGUUCACUUGUGGCAGGGACAUUCCUAUGAACCCC
rnacentral:lncRNA from 1 species